UUUAGGCAAACGCUGCUAGGAAUAGUAGAGGAAAGUCCAUGCUCACAAAAGCUGCGAUGCUUUUAGUGUUUGUGCUAAGGGAAAAAAUAACCUUAGGGAGAGUAAUCUUACGGCUUCGAAUAGACCUAAGUCUUUAGAUAUGGUCUUAGUAGAUAUAAAAGUGCCAUAGUGACGAUGCACAUUAGAAAUAGUGUGAGUGGAACGAGGUAAACCCCGCAAGUGAGAAACCCAAAUUAUGGUAGGGGAGCUUUAACAAGGGAACUGAACUUUAGUUAAGGAUCGAAAGAUAGAUAAAUGUUUGCCACCUUUUUAGGUACAGAACAUGGCUUAUU
rnacentral:RNase_P_RNA from 1 species